GACGGAAGGUGCAAGCGUUGCUCGGAAUCACUGGGCGUAAAGGGUGCGUAGGCGGCUUGGUGGGUCUGAUGUGAAAGCCCUGGGCUCAACCUGGGAAUGGCAUUGGAUACUGGCGACCUAGAGUGCGGUAGAGGGGUGUGGAAUUCCCGGUGUAGCAGUGAAAUGCGUAGAUAUCGGGAGGAACAUCUGUGGCGAAGGCGACACCCUGGACCAGCACUGACACUGAGGCACGAAAGCGUGGGGAGCAAACAGG
rnacentral:rRNA from 1 species